CUUUGUCUCUUUCAGAGGUCCAACGGGCCCAAUGGGUAGUCCAAAGCCAGGAAUGCAACAAGGUGGACAUGGCGGAGGAGGGAUGGGAGGAGGAAUGGGUGGAGGAAUGGGAGGUGGGGGGAUGAGUGGGAUGGGAGGAGGAAUGGGAGGAAUGGGAGCAGGCAUGGUAGGAGGAGGUAUGGGGGGGAUGGGUGAAGGUAUGGGAGCAGGAAUAGGGAGUGGGAUGGGAGGAAUGGGCGGAGGAGGUAUGGGGGGAAUGGGCAGUGGUGGAGGAAUAGGGUCCAGAGCUGGAGAGCCGUAUCGUCUGGCUGCUCAUGACAGCCCAACCUCCCCUCGACACAUGCAGUCCAGCCAAGGGUCGGGCAUGGGGCAGGUCUCAGGAUCCGGCCAUGGGGUGGGUCACACUGCAACUGGCUCCAGCAUGGCAGGCCAUGGUGGCCAAAGUCCCGGUCAGCAUGCCUCCCGGCGAAACCUCCAAGUCGACUUCAGUGGCUCAGGUGGUUCUCGGACGGGCCGGUCUCCUUCGGUGUCUCCUGACCGCGGCGUGACUCCCACCUCGCCCUACUCCGUGCCGCAGAUCGCACCCAUGCCAAGCAGCAAACUGUGCCCAGUGUGCACCACCACAGAGCUGUGCAAUCCACCGGCGGUGCCCAACUACAACACCUGCACCCAAUGCAAGGCCACCGUGUGCAACCAGUGCGGAUUCAACCCCAACCCCCAUCUCACCGAGGUCCAGGAAUGGCUAUGCCUGAAUUGUCAGAUGCAGAGAGCUCUUGGCAUUGAUAUGACCACACCUCGCUCAAAGAGCCAACAGCAAAUUCACUCUCCGUCCCACCAAGCCAAGCCCAUCGUCCAGCCACAGCAGCCCGUUCCGCAGCCAACACAGCCGGCUGCUGCUGCACAGCCCAAACCUCUGGCACAGAGUCAGUCGACUCAACAGCAGCAACAGCACCAACAGCAACAACCUCAUUCCCAGCCUUAUGGCCAAACUCAUCCCUACUCCCAGUCCCAGCCGUAUUCCCAGUCCCAGCCGUAUUCCCAGUCCCAGCCAUAUUCCCAGGCUCAACCGUAUUCCCAGUCCCAGCCAUAUUCCCAGGCUCAACCGUAUUCCCAGUCCCAGCCAUAUUCCCAGUCCCAACAGUAUCCCCAGUCCCAGCCUCAGCCUUACCCUCCAUCACAACCAGGACCCCAGACACAGCCUCAGACACAUCCAGGCCUUGGUGGUCCCCAGUCUAAGACAACACCCUCUCAGCAGGGCCUGAGGUCUGACCCGUACUCCCAGAGAGGUGUUGGAGCUCAAGGAGGUGCUGGAGGUCCGACAGGCGGCCCCGGCCAACAAGGAGGUCCUCGAAUUCCCCACCCAGGCGCUGUACCUCUGCCUGGGUUGACUAAGGCACCCUCCCAGCCAGAUUUAGGUCGAGGUUCUCCGAUGCAUCAACCUAUGACACGUCACCAUGACCAGACGAGAAGCGCUGGAUCUUCCCCAGCCCACCGACCUCAGAGUCAGGCCCCUGCCCAGGAUGGUCUGACCAAACUGUUUGGCUUUGGGGCAUCGCUGCUCAAUCAGGCUAGUACCCUGAUCAACGUCGACCCUCUACCCACAGCCUCAACACAGCCAAGCCCUGCGCGAGGUAAGGUGGUGUUCAGCAAUGCAACUCCCGAUAACAGACAACAAGGGCCCAGCAGCACUAAGCCUUUCAGCAUGGGGGGUCCUCAAGCUCCAAGCCAAACUGGGGGUCCACAGGCAACAAGUCAAGGGGGAGGUUUGAGUGGACCAAGCCAAAUGGGAGGACCUCAAGCACCAAGUCAAAAGGGCGGUCCUCAUACACCUGCUCCAACAGGAGGCCCCAUCGCUGGCCCCCAAGGGCCAAGCCAAAAGCAGCAGCAGCAGGCUGGACUCCAAAAACAACAAACGCCGCCACAGCAGCCACUUACUCAGCGUCAAAAGGAGCAACAAGGACAGCAGAUGCCUGCUCCCCAGCAGAAAGUGUUGCAGAAACAGGAACCAGUGUCGGUGCCCGUGACUGCUCCAGAGGCCGAGAAGCCCAAGGUGAACUGUCCUCUCUGCAAAACAGAGCUGAACAUCGGCAGCACCGACACACCCAACUACAACACCUGUACGCAGUGUCAAAGCCAAGUGUGCAACCUGUGUGGCUUCAACCCAACACCGCAUCUAGUCGAGAAAAAAGAGUGGUUAUGUCUUAACUGCCAGACCCAGCGGCUGUUGUCUGGAGGCGGCCUGGAUGAGCCUCCUCUUCCUGUUCCCCAUGCCUCCCCGAAGCACCAACCAAUGGGCUCACCUCGUCACCAGACGCCGACCAGUCAGCAAAGCCCUGUCCACAAGUCGACCACUCAGCAAGGACCCAAACCGGUCCAGCCGCAGGGACAAAAAUCCCAGAUGGGAACAGGCGUCGGUGGACCUACUGGUCCCACGCCCGCCAAACAGCCCACCGAUACCAAGACCACAACGCCAGCCACAGCACCAGUGCCAACCACCGAGGCCCAGAAACCCACGAAACCAACAGAGGAGAAGCCUAAGACGGAGCCUGAGAACCAAACUGCCAAAGAGACCAAACCUUCACAGAAGAAAGGGGAGCAGAUCACUCCAGUAAAGGAAAUUAAGAAGUCUAGGCACUAUGACGACACAAAAAACAACAGCACCCAUGACUUGUCACGCAGCCCUCAGAGUCUCAGUGACACUGGCUACUCCUCUGAUGGGAUCUCCAGCUCACACAGUGAAAUUACAGGUCUAAUCCAAGAGGAGGAAAUGAAGCUGAGUGAGAGGGGAAUCAGUGGGCGAGGCUCUCCUCCAAGCCCCUCUGAAAUCACCAAGCUGGAGAGCUCGAUGAGGCCACUGCUGGAGAAAAGCCUCUCUGAGGAAAAGCCGGACAGAAGGGGAAGAAAGCACAGGGACAGAGACUUGGAUGACAGAGGAAAGCAUCGACCACGUUCCCUUUCAAUUCCUCCAGAUGCAUAUGAUUCUGAUGAGGAAUUAGAGGAUAUACUGGAGGAAGAGGAAGAUGGCGGGGACUGGGAGAGUAAACGGAAAGAAGGAAAGGAAGAGAGAAAAGAAAAGAAGAAGGAAAAGGAAAAAGAGGCUGAUCCAACAGAGAUGACUGACGAGGAGUUCAUGAGGAGGCAAAUAAUGGAGAUGAGCGCUGACGAGGACAACGAGGAGGAGGAGGAAGAGGAAAUGGAGGAAGACGAAGAUGAGGAAGAUGAAGGUUACGGCUACCAGAAACCGAAGAAAAGCCACCACAAGCACAUCAUUUCUGACUCAGGGAAAGAAAAGAGACGGCUUCAGCACCACUCGAGUAGUUUUGAGGAAGAAACCAAGACCUCCGCCGAUGUCUACAAGGGUUCUGUGGAGGAGGGGGAGGAAGAUGUGAUGGCAUCCCAAGGGGGGCUGAGGCGCUUCAAAACCAUUGAACUCAACAACACCAACAGCUACAGCCGAGAUAUGGAGCUGAGCAAUGAAAAUGAUCUAAACCUGGACCGGGAGCCAGAGCUGGAAAUGGAGAGCUUAACCGGAUCUCCAGAGGAGCGUUCUAGGGGCGACUAUUCUUCAACUUUACCUCCAACUUCAUCCUCAUAUGGUUCAGGACAGUCUCCAACAUCCAUCUCAUCAAUGGAGGAAGACAGUGACAGUAGCCCAAGCAGGAGGCAAAGACUGGAGGAGGCCAAGCAGCAGAGGAAAGCACGCCACCGGUCUCACGGCCCCCUGCUUCCGACCAUUGAAGACUCCUCAGAAGAGGAUGAACUCAGAGAGGAAGAGGAGCUUCUGAGAGAGCAGGAGAAGAUGAGAGAGGUAGAACAACAGAGAAUAAGAAGCACAGCACGGAAAACCAAAAGGGAUAAGGAGGAGCUGAGGGCCCAAAGACGCCGAGAAAGAUCCAAAACACCACCUAGUAAUUUGUCACCAAUUGAAGACGCUUCCCCUACGGAGGAGCUAAGACAAGCAGCAGAGAUGGAAGAGCUUCAUCGGUCCUCUGCUUCUGAAUAUUCCCCCCAAAGUCUGGACUCUGAGGCUGAGGGGUACGAGUCCAAAAUCUACAAGUCAGGCAGUGAGUACAAUCUGCCUACUUUUAUGUCUCUCUAUUCGCCUAUAGAGAAAUCUUCCUCAACUACGACGACCACUGCUCCAUCAACAACCUCCAAACCUCUGAAGAGUGCUGAGGAAGUUUAUGAGGAAAUGAUGAGAAAAGCAGAGAUGCUGCAAAAACAAGAAAAGCUACAGCAGCAGCAACAACAACGACAUGGGCAGUACUAUGAGGAGGACAUUAAUGGACAAAACUACGACGACGACUAUGACUAUGAACAAGAUCAAACGGGAUAUGACAACGAAGCGGCGGAAAUAGAAAACGACAUUUAUGAGGAAAUCCGACAAACAUCUCAGAACAUCACUAAGAUGCAACAGGCCACAAAUGAGCAAGUCGAGAUUGAAAUUGAGAGUUCUUUUGCAGAUAAGCAGCUGCUGGACACAGGCUCAGCCUUUGCUAAACUACUAGAGCAAAGCAAUGCUCUGUUAACUCCGGGGACAAGUCCUACCCAGGUCUCAGCUCCUGUCUCCUUUGCUGAGAGUGGAGGUCGAAUACCAGACGUGAGAGUAAGCCAGCACUUCACCGCAAAGGAUGGGCACAAGGACAGAAUUAAAAGCCAAGCAGGAAAGAAUGGCAUAACUCCAACAGUGGCUGCUACCACCAUUGCAGCUUAUGGGGUUUAUGCCAGAGACGCAGUAACAAUUUCCCAAACAGGAUCAAGCCACACUAUGACAUCAACCCAAUCUGAUACCUCACGCAGACACACAGGGACUCUUGCCACAUCCUCAGCUACAGUCUCAAGUGUAUGUAGCAAGAUUGCAGAGAUUACCCAGGCCUAUAGUCAAAGAGAAGUAAUCACCAGAAGGAUUGGGGAGACAAGAGGUGUUCAAGUGCGGGACAGCUCGACAUCAUCUGCUGAGAGGAUUAUUGAACCACGCUCUCCUAAGUAUACUACCUAUUACAGGAGCACGAGUCCUCCUCUCUCUCCAUCACCACCGCCACCACAAAGUCCUAUUCGCUCUCCUUCCAGAAGGUCUACUGCUGAGUUCUCCACACAGACCUUCAACUCAGCCCUGCGAAUGGAGCCAGCUGGUUCUGGGCCCACAUCACCUGUGAUAGCUCAGGGAACCCAAACAGCACAUCGAUCAAUUUCCCCAAGGCUAUAUCGACAACAGUCUUCCCAGGAGGCUCCAUACUCCCCACCUCCAGGUCCAACUAGACCAAUGACAGUGAACACGGCAACUUCUCCAUUGUCCUCACCCACUCGAUUUAGCCGUCAGUCAACAUUUGAUAGCUACUCUCCAUGCGGCAGCCCCCCGGACACACCACCUUAUCAACAGUCACCGACACACAGCUUCUAUAGAGCGCAAAGAGUGGAGAAGGUGAAUGUAGGGACAAGCAUGGUCACUACUGCUGGUUUAUACACCAGAGGGUCUGUGUCCAUGGAUAAUAUCUCCCUCUGCCGAAUAUCUACAGUCCCGGGAACCUCAAGGGUUGAGCAGGGCCAUAUGAUCCAAGGUGGUAGUGUUGUAGAUCUAAGAACUGCAACCCACUCAGCUCCCAUUAUUAUGACUGAUCAGGGAAUGGACCUUACUUCCUUAGCUACAGAAAGCAGGAAAUACCACGGUGGACCAGAAGGUUCCAGGCAUUCAACAAUCAUACAACCACUGAUUAUGAAUUUGAACACACAAGAGACCACCACACCUACCACUGUGAGUGUCACUGUGGCUGCUUCUAUGUUUAUGACCCAGCUAAAACAUCCAGUGGUUUAUGGUGAUCCCCAUCAAAACCGAAUAGAUCUAGGUCAGGGCAUGGGCUCAGCGGUGUGUCUUUCUCAGAACAAAUCACCAAUUUCUCCUCCAACUGACCCUUCCAUUCCAAAAAUUGAUGCAAAAUUGGAAGAUCUCAGCAUACAACAAAGAGAAUUGCAAAAACAACAAGAGAAGCUGCAGAAACAACAAGAGCUCCUUGAGCAACAGCUACAACAGCACCAUCAGCUGCAGCAGCACCAACAACAGGCAUCUGUUCUAGCCAAGUAUAACCUCACAGGCCAGGUCUCACCUUUAGCUAAAAAAAAUUUAUUAGUCAGCCAGACUAGUACUGCAUCUACAGUGGUCAGUGCUGUUUCACCAGUCAUCAAUCCUGAGCUUUACGGCACUGGUCCUGUUGAGCUGAAAGGGAAGCCCAGCCCACCUGGUUUGAUGCAGGGGGGUAAAUCACCACAUAGUAUGGUUGUACAAAUGGAUGGAGGGCCCGAGCCAGUAAGGGCAUUGACUCAACUUGUGAAGGUAGAAGAAGGACAGGAUGCAGUGGAUUUGACAGGAGGCCAAAUAAAACCUGACCAACCAGCUUGUUGUGAUGUAGUUUACAGACUGCCAUUUGGUGGAAGUUGUGUUGGUGUCUCUGAGAAAGAGGGCAUAAGGCCACCGUCUGCCCCACCUCUUACAGAUGAAUCAGAUCAAGAAAGACAACCUGGAAGGUACCAUGAGUACCCAAUGGACACACGUAAGGCUUACACGUUACCUUUUCCUGGUAGGCUUCAGCCUUCAAUGUCUGAUACCAACCUUGCUGAUGCCGGCUUACAGUCAUACCACUCUAAAUAUGAACCACACCUCCAACAAGCUGGUGAACUUGUCAUGGACUUAACUGCUAUGAAACAGAGCUAUGGAGGAUAUAUGGGCAUGCAGUACGGUUCCUACACAGAUUUACGUCAUGGAGGAGACAUUUCAGCACAAACGUUGCCGAUAAGACGAUAUAAUUCCUUGUCUAACAUCAGUUCAGAUUAUGGUUAUUCUGCUCGUGAUAUUGCAAGCUUCCAAGAAGCUAACUUGGCUCAGUACAGUGCUACAACUGCAAGGGAGAUAAGUCGAAUGUGUGCUGCACUUAAUUCUAUGGACCGAUAUGGAAGCAACCCAGACUUGCUGCAGUAUGGCAGCUUAGGCAGAGGUACUGGACCAGGUGCCUCCAGACUUGCAGCAGGCAUUGGCAUGAGGCAAAGUCUGAUCUUUGGAUUAGAUGGAAAGCCUAUGUCUCAAAAUCAAGCUCUGACGAAUCUUAUCAAUGCCAGGCAGGCUAGUCUGAGGGCCAUGUACCCUGCUGCCAUUAGGUCAUCUGACGGAAUGAUUUACUCCACCAUUCAGACCCCAAUAGCUUCAACACUUCCCAUCACCACCCAACCUGCAUCUGUACUUCGACCUCUACUGAGAGGGGUCUAUAGGCCAUACGCUUCUCCCAACAUGACACCAGUGCCACUGGCCAGUCUCACCAGAUUACCCAUAAGCCCAAGAAUGCCCUUAUCUGGACAAGUACCACUUCGUUAUCCAGCGCCAGGUCUGCUUCAGACAACUUCAGCCAUUGCCUCUACCACUGUUGCUGCAUCAACUUCAGCCCUUGUGCCCAUGUCUUUGACAACCGCAAGCUCAACAGCCCUGGAGGAACCUGUUUACCUUGGUAAAGGUGCCAAAGUGACAUCAGCAGAGGUCACUUCAGCACAAGGAGUGCUUGUCACUUUGACCGAACCGCAGCAGCAACCAAUAAACCUGUCCCAGACACAUCUGAACACCCAACAACAGAAACAAGUGACAACGGCUCAGCAGCCACAGCCUCCUCCUGCAGCUCACGUAUACCCACCCUCAAGUCCAGCAGUAACCCAAGGCUACACCCAGCCUGCUGCAGGCCCAUCGGUCCCCACCACUGGCUUGCCCGUUCCAUGUGGUCUCCCUCCUUUCCCUCCACCUGGUGCAAUACAUAAAGAGGGUGAAACUGAGGCAGAGAGGCUUCACCGACAACAGGAGCAGCUUCUGCAGAUGGAGAGGGAGCGCGUAGAGUUAGAGAAACUUCGUCAGCUGCGACUGCAAGAAGAGCUUGAGCGCGAAAGAAUGGAGCUGAAGUUUCACAGGGAGAAGGAGCAAAUUCUGGUGCAGAGGGAGUUACAAGAGCUGCAGAACAUCAAGGAACAGGUGUUACAGCAGCAGCAGCAAGAGCGCGAGAAACAACUCGUUCUCCAACGAGAGCAGUUGGCCCAGCAGAAAUCCCAGCUCGACCAGAUACAAUCUUUGCAGCAGCAGCUCCAGCAACAACUACAAGAGCAGAAGCGGCUGAAAACUGCUGCUCAGACCAUGCAGCUGGAUAUGACCGGACAGCCAUUGCAUCCCUACAUAGACUCUCAGAUGAGCUCGCGCUCUCUCCCUAACUCUUCCUCAGAGAUAUGUUUGAGGAAUCAGGAUGAACAGCUGGAAGCCAGAGCUGGUAUGAGGAAACAUAGCUCCAUGAGCAGGCUGACCCGAGACACCUCUGAUGGAGAUGGUGUGAUUUUCUAUGGCUCCCCUCGCAGAAUUGUGGAUAGUUGUGUACAGACUGAUGAUGAAGAUGGAGAAGAGAGGUACAUGAUGCGUCAUCGUACCAGGAGGCGUGGUCGGAGCGUUGACUGCUCCGUCCAGACGGAUGACGAUGAGGAUAAGGCUGAAACGGAGCAUCCAGUUCGCCGCAGACGCUCCCGGUUUUCCCGCCAUGCCGAGUCCACAGCAGCUGGCACCAGCACUGCCUCGACAACCACCUCGACAACAGACACCAAAGCUGACACAUCCAAGAUAGUUUCCUCCAGCAUCGCUGUCCAGACCAUCAGGGAGGUGUCCUGUCAGACAGAAGCUGAGCACCUAGGAAGAGUCUCCCCGGCAAUCCAUGUGACAUUACCAGACCCUAAUAAAGUAGAGAUCGUACACUACAUUUCUGGACCAGAGCGCACACAAAAAGGACAAUCUCUUGCCUGCCAGACUGACUCAGAAGGGCAGUCGCAGGGCGUUGUAGCUCCACAGCUAACAGUGCCGACUACAGUCAGUCCAUAUUCUUCCUCUGCCGGUACCGGAACAGGGCCGUCCAGUUCGGCUGACCUUCACACCCAACAGCGCCAGCAGCAACACGUUGCAGCGAAUGCAGCAAAAUUUGAGCGACGUCGUCCUGACCCAUUAGAUAUUAACUAUCAGCCUCACAACCACCUUCACAAUGAGUCCAUCUCCAGCCUCAUCCGGCAGCAACAAACCACACCGAAAUCUCCACAGGUCCUCUACUCUCCUGUGUCGCCAGUGUCCCCACACCGCCUGCUGGAGACCUCCCUGUCAAGCGAGAGACUGAACAAGGCCCACGUCACACCUCAGCAGAAGUCUUACACAGCCGAAUCCCCCCAGCGACACCCAUCUGUGCCCCGACCCAUCAAGAGCACCCAUAGGUCCAUGUCGGACCCCAAGUCCCUCAGCCCAACCACAGAUGAGCACACCAAGGCCAGGCUGUCCCUGUAUCAACAACAAGCACUCCAGAGCCAGCUGGCAGCCUUACAGCAAAGCUCUUUGCUUCGGAAGGUUAAGCGAACCCUGCCCAGCCCUCCUCCAGACGAGACUGCUACAUCAGCUCACUUGACCAUGAUGACACCUGCCCAACAACAGAUCUACCUGUCCUCCGUGCCCAGCCUCAAGCCCAGCUCAAGGUCUGGCCUGGCUGCUAAAGCCAGCCUCCUCAAAGAUCUCACCCACGAGCUGAAGGCCGUGGAGCAAGAGUCUACCAAGCUUAGAAAGCAACAAGCUGAACUGGAGGAGGAAGAGAAAGAAAUUGACGCUAAGCUGAGGUACCUGGAACUGGGAAUUCAUCAGAGGAAAGAGACUUUGGUAAAGGAGAGGGAAAGAAGGGACAUUGCCUACCUAAGAUGUAUGGGGGACACCAGAGACUAUAUGUCUGACAGUGAGUUGAAUAACUUGCGUUUAGCAGCUGCUGCUGCAUCACAUGAGGCAAAUGGGCUACUAACAACCAGACCAAGCACUGCUCCACUUAGCCAAUUUACCAGUGACCUCAACACAGCAGCCCAGUACCCACCAACCUCAUCCUUCCUCUCUUGUCAAUAUCCCCAGAGCCAACCACCAGCACCAUCUCAGCAAUCAAGUGUGCCAUACCAGUCAUCCACAUUCAACCAGCCUCCUUACCCAACAGUGUCGCAGUCACAGGCCCUGCCACAGCCCAUGACCCUUCAGAGUCAUCCCCCUCCUCCUGGACCUACCUUUCAACCUCAAACAUCCUAUCCUUCCCACACCUAUCCACAAGCUCAGCCCCCAUAUCCCCAAACUGAUGCGGGGUUACCAUCUGCACCUCAGCCUCCAGCAGGGCCUACAGGUUUUGGACCUGCACCGCCUGGUCAGCCACCAUACCCCACCCACAGCUCACCUUAUCCCAGCGCUGUGUCCCUCUACCCCACCCAGACGACUCCAUAUCCUGGGCAGCCCCAAGCUGAUAUUCUUACCGUUCACCAUGGAAGACCCAGACAGACAUCACUUGCUGAACUUGAACAUAAGAUGCCAACCAACUAUGAGACUAUCAGCAACCCGACAGUUGUGGUCACGACCACAGCCCAAGAUGCUACCUUUUCCAGUGCAGCCCCAGCCUAUGGUCCGUACACGGGAACAACAACAAUGGCAAGCUCCUAUGGGCCGUAUGGAUCUGCACCUGUUUCCAGCAGUUAUGGUGGUUACGCCACAGUGCCUCCAAGCACUUAUGGUCCAUAUACAUCAACCCCAGCUAGCUCAUAUGGCCAGUACACAACAACUACUGCUAAUACAUAUGGCUACACCACCACCACAGCCAGUUCUUAUGGACAGUACACUUCAACAGUUUCCAAUGCCUAUGGGCACCCUGUAGACAGUCCUUCCACCUACAGCACAGCCGAAGGAAUGUAUGGGGCUCCUGGUUUAGAGCAAAACAUUCCAAGGAACUACAUGAUGAUCGAUGAUGUGAGCGAGCUGACGGCAAAGGACGGGCUGGGCACGACAGCAGGGGACAUGAUGCAUCAUGGCAGUAGCGGGCGUUACCCUGGCGACAUCCAUGGCCAUGGCAGCACAUCUGGCAGCACGGCGCGUGGGGGAACUGGCAGCUCCCCCUACGGCAGGGCACCUGAGGAGGAAGCAGCGAUGCAGGAUGAGCUGUACGACCACCACGGCAGGGGUAAGAGCAGCUACAGGCACGGACCUCUAGGGGGCAGCAGCAGCAGCGUGAGCACUAGCAUGGGUGGGGGAUCCCCCUAUUUCUAUGACUACGACUACAAACUUGCCAGCAUCCGCUCCGGGGUACAGAAACCUUUGGCGUCCUCCAGAAGCCUUCUGGCCCCCGCUGUCAUGUCCUCCAAGCGCAGCAAGCACAGGAAGCUGGGGACUAUGGAGCAGAAAAUUUCAAAGUUUUCCCCAAUAGAGGAGGCUCGAGAUGUCGAGGCAGAUUUGGCCUCCUAUUCUGCAGGUGAGGCUUACCCCUCAUCUAACAUUCGAGGGCGCCAGCUGAUCGAGGAUUAUGGCUUCAAGAGGAGUGCUUUUGAUGGCACCAGUGGCACAACUCAUGGAAGUCGACACUACGGUAUGAUGGUGGAUGAGGACGAUCGGAUUUACUACACCUCAACUGGCCGCUCCCGCUCCCAUGGCUACGGCAUGGACAAGAUCUCAGCCAGAGAUUACCAUGGCUAUCGAAGCAGAUCCUAUGAGAGAGACGACCGCUCCUACCGUUCUGGCUACAGAGGACGCCACCCAACUCGGCAAUACUCUGAGGAGGAGAGCCCACUCAGCCCUUUGGGGAAAUUCAUGGGUUCUGGGAGAUCUUCAAGCUUAGGUCGUGACCCAUAUGACAGUCGCAGCAGUAAAUAUUAUUACUAUUAUGGCAAUUAUGGUUCCAGUCACUCGCUGCCAGAUGUUCAAGACCAUAUACGGGACCUUCCCCGGACACAUGUCUACAAAUCGGAUGAUACAUACAUUAUUGAUGAUUAUCAUUGUGCUGUGUCAGACAGUGAAGCCUACCAUCUGGGCCAGGAAGAAACUGACUGGUUUGAGAAACCACGCUCCAGUUCUCGACACUACGGCAGCAGCCACUCUGGAAGAAGUCGGCAUGGUGUCAAGCACACCUAUCAUGAUUAUGAUGAACCUCCUGAGGAGGACCUGUGGCCGCAAGAUGAGUACAGCCAUGGCGGGCGGCAUUCAUCAUCACGUGACCACAGGCACCAUGGCACCUCUAGCCGGCACUCUUCCUCCCGUCACUCAGAUGAGCCGAGAUCCUCGAGGUCAUCUAAGGGGCAUCCCAAAGACCCGUCUAUGCGCCAUGACCCCUCAGGACGUUCUUCAUCUUCAGGAAGGCGUGGUGAGUCCAGGUCUGGAGGGUAUCACUCUUCCGACUACUCCAGGGAUCCGUCUGGACAUCAUCACGGCCAAAGGUCUUCCAGGCAGGGAGAUCCACACAGAUCCUCACGCAGCAAGUCCCAGGGCCAAAUGGACAUGCAGGGCCAACCACCAGGCUCCUCCAGGUCCGGCAGCAGUACUGGGCGAGCUCAGGGCUCUGCUGGUGGGCCUCCAGGAUCCGGGCGACUAGGCGGUCCGGGUUCUCAGAUGGAUGGGACCCAAGGACAGAGGACUCAGCUCCAGCAGCAGGCCCAGACAGCUGCAUCCAGACCAGGACAGCCUGGCACAACAGCGACCACAGGCCUUCAGCAGCAGCCACCAGCCCAAGGUCAAGGCAUGGGCAUGGGGAUGGGCAUGGGCAUGGGCAUGGGUCAGGCCCAGGCCCAGGCCAAACCAGGGCAAUUGGGACCAGCAGGCGGGCCGAUGGGCCAGGCUCGACCAACUGGUGCAGCAGGAACCACACCGCCCACCAUGACAAAGAUCGACACGCCUCCUGUAACGGCGAUUGGGGCGAAAGCGGCACCCGUCAUGGCCUCGAAGGCAGGCCAGCCCCCGCUUACAGGAAUAGGCUCCAAGGCAGCUCCGAGACCCGGCGGCAUCGGCAGUGCAGCGGCAGGUCAGCCUGGCAUGGAGGGAGAAGGAAUGUUUUCCAAGAUUCUUCCCGGCGGCGCUGCUGAGCAGGCCGGCAAACUGGGAGAAGCUAUCUCUGGCUUUGGCAAGAAAUUCACCUCCUUAUUCUGAGGUGACACAAGUCAGGAUUAUGAAAAAUGUCAUAAAUGAAGUCAUGAGGCCUCAUACGAGAAAAACCUGUGAAGUUCCCCCUGCUUUUGUUUCCCCGAAAAAAGAGAAAGGAAAGAGAGAGAGGAUGAUGACUGAGAGGAGAGCGGAGCGUUCUGCCAAAACAGACUGGAAUCCUCUGGAUGCUUCAUGUCUCAGAUCUGAGCAUACAAAGGCAGAGAGAACACUCUGAUCUCUCUGACAGCCCAGACAGUCAUUCCAAGCCCGAGCCAACAUCCAUCUUCAGAGGGAUUCCCAUUGUUAUGCAGCUUCUCUCAGAAAACCUGCAGCAGCUACAAACAUCUACACCCCUACAUGAAAACAGAGCAGCUGCUGGCUGAAGGUGACAGCAGAAGAAACAGCUGUACGACCGUGAUCACCCUCCCUGCCAGCAGGGGGAGCCGUGUUCAACGUAACAGCCCGACAGUUACGUUGACGUGGUGCAGACAACGACUGACGGCCGCAUUUGUCCACGAGAGCUGCUUUCAUCCUAACUUCCUGUAGGAGGUGAUAGCUUGGUUUUCCAGUCCUGUGCUCAAUCUUGAAGGAAUAUAAAUCACCUCUCCUCUUUUCUGUCUUUUUCCGAAGUAAACAAUGAGCAAAAAAAAAAAAAAAAAAGGGGAAAACUCACCGAGGCGUCACAGGUUUUUCUUGUACGAAAGUCGUCUCGUUUUACCACCAAAUACUGA